CCUACGGGCGGCAGCAGUGGGGAAUAUUGGACAAUGGGGGGAACCCUGAUCCAGCCAUGCCGCGUGUGUGAAGAAGGCCCUCGGGUUGUAAAGCACUUUCAGUGAGGAAGAACGCCUGGUGGUUAAUACCCAUCAGGAAAGACAUCACUCACAGAAGAAGCACCGGCUAACUCCGUGCCAGCAGCCGCGGUAAUACGGAGGGUGCGAGCGUUAAUCGGAAUUACUGGGCGUAAAGCGCGCGUAGGUGGCUUGAUAAGCCGGUUGUGAAAGCCCCGGGCUCAACCUGGGAACGGCAUCCGGAACUGUCAAGCUAGAGUGCAGGAGAGGAAGGUAGAAUUCCCGGUGUAGCGGUGAAAUGCGUAGAGAUCGGGAGGAAUGCCAGUGGCGAAGGCGGCCUUCUGGACUGACACUGACACUGAGGUGCGAAAGCGUGGGUAGCAAACAGGAUUAGAUACCCUUGUAGUC
rnacentral:rRNA from 1 species